rnacentral:rRNA from 1 species
UGGGGAAUCAUAGACAAUGGGCGCAAGCCUGAUCUUGCCAUGCCGCGUGAGCGAAGAAGGCCUUAGGGUUGUAAAGCUCUUUCACCGGUGACGAUAAUGACGGUAGCCGGAGAAGAAGCCCCGGCUAACUCCGUGCCAGCAGCCGCGGUAAUACGGAGGGGGCUAGCGUUGUUCGGAAUUACUGGGCGUAAAGCGCACGUAGGCGGAUCUUUAAGUCGGGGGUGAAAUCCCGGGGCUCAACCCCGGAACUGCCUUCGAUACUGGGGAUCUUGAGGUCUGGAGAGGUGAGUGGAAUGUCGAGUGUAGAGGUGAAAUUCGUAGAUAUUCGACGGAACACCAGUGGCGAAGGCGGCUCACUGGCCAGAUACUGACGCUGAGGUGCGAAAGCGUGGGGAGCAAACAGGAUUAGAUACCCCCGUAGUCC